UUUAGAGAGGAUGAGGAAGGACAGUACUCUCUGAAUAAGCCUCGGCUAACUACGUGCCAGCAGCCGCGGUAAAACGUAGGAGGCGAGCGUUAUCCGGAUUUACUGGGCGUAAAGCGCGUGUAGGCGGUCUGACAAGUUGGAUGUGAAAGCUCCUGGCUUAACUGGGAGAGGUCGUUCAAAACUGUUAGACUUGAGAGUGGUAGAGGGAGGUGGAAUUCCGGGUGUAGUGGUGAAAUGCGUAGAUAUCCGGAGGAACACCAGUGGCGAAAGCGGCCUCCUGGACCAUUUCUGACGCUCAGACACGAAAGCUAAGGUAGCAAACGGGAUUAGAGACCCCGGUAGUCUUAGCUGUAAACGAUGUGAACUAGGUGUCGGUGGGUUCAAAUCCAUCGGUACCGAAGCUAACGCGAUAAGUUCACCGCCUGGGGACUACGGCCGCAAGGUUAAAACUCAAAGGAAUUGACGG
rnacentral:rRNA from 1 species